CGCGUAGGCUGUUGAGUAAGUCAAAUGUGAAAUCCCCGGGCUUAACCUGGGAACUGCAUUCGAUACUGCUUAACUAGAGUAUGGUAGAGGGAAGUGGAAUUCCGGGUGUAGCGGUGAAAUGCGUAGAUAUCCGGAAGAACACCAGUGGCGAAGGCGACUUCCUGGGCCAAUACUGACGCUGAGGUGCGAAAGCGUGGGGAGCAAACA
rnacentral:rRNA from 1 species